UAGACUCGUUAGCUCAGUUGGUAGAGCAAUUGACUUUUAAUCAAUGGGUCACUGGUUCGAGUCCACUCGUGCCCAU
rnacentral:tRNA from 1 species